CAAAAGGAAGAGCCUAGUAAGAAUAUGAAGAGAGCAACAAAAUGCUAGAUUGUCUGAAAAGAUAUGAGCACUGUAGAGGAGUUCCGUCUGAUUUUGUGGAGACAGAAACAGAAAGAGUGUUCUAGUGGAGAUCUGCAAUAGAGUUUGGUAGCUCAGAAAAUGAGGGAAAGAGGAAGAAAAGAAAGAGAUGAAGAGAAAACAAUUUUAGCUUUCAACAUUUCAGGUAAAAUCUUGAAUUAGUGGUUGGGGUCCAAGCAUUCCCUGUGUCGAAAACCUGCUUGUUUGGGCUUAAAUAUUUAAUGAAGUCAAAAGAUCUAAAGGACUCUGAGCUCGUGUUAUUAAUGGUAGCGAAGAUGAAAACAAAUUCCCUUCUUGUUCUUGGUCUGGUCCACAUGACGUAGUAAGGGUUUCACUUUAGAAAAUCCAGGUGGAGGGAUAUGAUGAAUCCAAAUUAAUCCAAGCACUCCAAGACAAAGCAGUUUCAGAAGAGGAAAAAAGCCAUUGCUUUAUGAUCUUGAAAGAGGGAAAAAAGACCAUAAAGACCAUAUGGGUAGGCUCAAAAGCAUUGCCAACCUCAUGUAUGUCUCUCUAUCUCCAUAGAGCUUCUUUAUUACUCUUUUUAAGGUCACGCACACACAACCCUACAACCUUCACUAAAAUUAGAGACAAAAAGCUAUACAAAAAAAGAAGCUUUCAGGUAGGAUGAUUCCCCUGUGUCUGCUAUGUGCCAAAUUGCCAACUCAAAAGCUAGCUGGAAGAGGCAUGGUGGAAAUUGUCACCAUGAAGCUCAAACUGAUUUUAGCAAGCAAUUUCAAGUCUCCAGUACUGCCAAUUGUGACCAUUUCGUAUCCACCAACAUCACUGUCCAUCCUGGUUUGAGCUUUCUGUGCUACAAUAUAUAUUUCUAUAUUUCUUUUCUUUCUUUUUCAUUUUCCAAUCCACUAAACAUACAAAAACGCCUGUUUUUGGAUACUUAUUGUGUGCCUGGCUCCCUGUAUGCCAUCUGCAAAGCUCAUCAGAAAGUCGGUGGCCUCCGCAGAUGGCAUGCGAGGAGCCAUGCAUGCUGCAACUCAUUUAGUCCAGGAAGGGAAUGUUUCUCUGAUUGAAUUAAAGUCUAUCACAUGUAGCCAUAUAGUCACAGAACACUUUAACCCUAAUUCUUUCCAUCUAGCUCUAAUAAACAUUUAGGACAUUAGAGUGAACUUGGAAUGAACCAGGAAAGAUUAUUCAUAGUGGAGAGGACAGUCAAGCCCAUAUCCGUUUUCUUUUCCCACACUUUAUGAUUGUUUUAAUUAACAGUCAGCAAGAGAGAGUUCGACUGAAUUGGUAAGUGAGAACAUUCAUAGGAGUUUCAUCUUUAUUUGUCUUUCCUUUUUCUUUUUUUAACUCAUUAUUAAUGAUUUAAAAUUAUUGAAAUUUUCCUGCUAUGAAGGUUGCUUUUGUGUCUUAUUUACACUGAAGGCAUGGAAACUCAACAUGGGGCAUACAAUUCAUUACAUGGAGAUAGCUAUUGAAGAGAAAAUAAAGAAAGCUUCCACUAUUAUUUGUUACCCUCCAACGAAUGAACAUUCAACUAUGAUUCCUACAUGGCGUAAUGGACUAAAAAUAUGUAGUACUAGGCAAGCUCAUGAUGGUUGAUCCCCCGGAGGAAGUGCUUUCAGAUGUGUGUUUCUGAGGUAAUCUGAUAUCCUUCAGAUUUGGAACAAGUCCAGGUUGAGAAAUCUGAACGUCUCUGAUGUCAGUUUCAUUAGUCAACAUUUUCACGGCCAUUGACAUAUGUGGACGGAGCUUGGCUGUUUCUUGCACGCAAAGUAGGCUGACCAUCAAGAACCGAAAAGCUUCUUCUUCUGGAAAGUUCAUUUUAAGAGCAGGGUCUACUACCUGCAUAAGUUUGUUGCUCUUGUAGGCUUGCCAUGCCUGCAGUUAUUCACACACACAAAACACUUCAUCUAAACAAGAAGACGAUGUUGUGGUCAAGAAAUUCAUAAACCAAUAUCAAAAACAAUCAUAGCAAUAAUUAAACAUUUGCUUUAACAUUUCCACCUUUCGAACUAGGUAAUGUUCGCCAAGUUCCAAGUCAAAAUCCACAACUGAUCGCCCACUGAUAAUUUCCAACAACAGUACUCCAAAACUGUAAACAUCCGACUUUCGUGUCAAAUGUCCUGUAAUGGCGUAUUCUGGAGCAAGGUAUCCUCUUUUUUUGCAAUUUUGAGUCCAAGAAACCUGAUUAGCUAUGGUAUUUUUCUUAAUUAAUAGUGUAAAACAAAGAAACAAGAAUGCAGAAUCCACUUACAAUGUGCCUGCAACCCGAGUACUAAUAUGUGAAGCCUGGUCUCUAAGUAUCCUGGAAAGACCAAAAUCAGCCACUUUGGGAGCAAAAUUUCGAUCAAGAAGUAUAUUGCUUGCUUUUAUAUCUCUAUGCACGAUAUGGGGUUGAACUUCCUCAUGAAGAUAGGCCAGCCCACGAGCAACUCCUAAUGAAAUAUCCCUCCUUGCUUCCCAGCUAAAUUUCAUCCUGUUUUGCUCUUUGCCUAUUAAUCAAGCAUAGCAUACAUGACAAAGAACAACUUUUCCUAGUUUAAAUUUGCCUAUUUAUAUACAGAUGUUCAAGUAUUGAUUGAGCCCUUUUUCUGGGUUCAUUAAGAAGAAUUUGAUCAAAUAAAUUAAUCAUAUAUAGGAGGAAGGAAAGAUUAUUACCGAGUAGGGUCUGUGCCAGGCUAUUGUUUUCCAUGUAAUCGAAGACCAAAUAUCUGUUGGCUCCAUCAACACAACAUCCUUGAAGUUCAACAAGAUUUGCAUGCUUUAUAUUAGACAGUGCAGCUAACUCAGAUAUGAAUUCUCUCUCUCCACGCAUCGAUUCGAUCUCCACAGAAAGAACCUUUACAGCUACAACAGAACCAUCAGCCAGGUGGCCCUUCAAAAUCAAAGCAAAGUCACACAUUAGCAUUUGGUGAACAUACAAGAUAUACCCAUGUAAGAUAGGUGCAUACAACAACUAACCUUACCAAAGGUCAAAUUAUGAGGUUUUCCUACACACAUGAUGUGAGAGGACCGGAAAUUACCCUGUACACAGAACCGAAGGCUCCUUCUCCAAUCUUGUUUGAGGAAGA